GAUCUCUCUCCAGAGGAGCAAUGGAGGGUCGAGCACGCACGCAUGCAUGCCAAGCACCGUGGCCAUGAAGCUAUGCAUGCUGAAAUGGUCCUCAUCCUCAUCGCUACCUUGGUGGUGGCCCAGCUGCUCCUGGUGCAGUGGAAGCAGAGGCACCCACGCUCCUACAAUAUGGUGACCCUCUUUCAGAUGUGGGUUGUUCCCCUCUAUUUCACAGUGAAGCUGCACUGGUGGAGGUUCCUAGUGAUCUGGAUCUUGUUCUCUGCUGUCACAGCCUUUGUUACCUUCCGAGCCACCCGAAAACCUCUAGUACAGACAACCCCAAGGUGAGAGUUUAAGUAGUGGGAAGAGCCAGGUUUUCUGAAGCUAAUGGGUUGGAAUGCAUGGGAGGAGCAUAGGUUUAGACUGAAAAAAAUCCUAGUUUUGUCUGCCAAAAUUAUUUGGCAUGGGGCCCCUCUAAAACAAGCUGAUUGGGAGAACCCCUCCCCUAUUCAUUGAUUAAAAACCUCAAAUAUUUCUGUAUAGCUUAUUUUAUGGUUUCAAGGUAUUUUUAUAUUAAAGGCAAACAAAAAUAAGCAAA
rnacentral:sRNA from 1 species